GUGCUUGCUUCAGUAGCACAUUAACAAAAAUUGGAACAAUACAAAGCUGAUUAGCAUGGCCCCUGCACAAAGAUGACACACAAAUUCUUGAAGCAUUCCAUAUUUUU
ensembl:snRNA U6 U6 spliceosomal RNA